rnacentral:lncRNA from 1 species
AGUGGGCGUGCAGGAGAAGCUGUAGGUCAGGAGGUAGAGUUGGCAGUGGGCGUGCAGGAGAAGCUGUAGGUCGGAGAGGUAGAGUUGGCAGUGGGCGUGCAGGAGAAGCUGUAGGUCGGAGAGGUAGAGGUGGCAGUGGGCGUGCAGGAGAAGCUGUAGGUCGGGAGGUAGAGGUGGCAGUGGGCGUGCAGGAGAAGCUGUAGGUCAGAGAGGUAGAGGUGGCAGUGGGCGUGCAGGAGAAGGUGUAGGUCGGGAGGUAGAGGUGGCAGUGGGCGUGCAGGAGAAGCUGUAGGUC